UGAUCUACAACUUUCAUUAAAAGACCAAGGUUACUAGUGUUGACACUAGCUAACACCACUUAGAUACUAGGUUGUCAUCCCUAGCAUGGCGCCAGAGUGUACAAAGGUAUUUAUAAAUGUAAAGGCUCUCUAGAAAAUAAUCUAUUCUAUCCGCAAGCGCACAGAUAAAACACCUCAUUGUAGCAUUUCACCAGGAUAAGUAUUCCAGGUAUCGUUAUUUAUAAUUUUGCUUAGGGAUCUGAGGAAGAUGGAAUUAAAUCAAAGGGGGCAAAAUCUAUCAAGGCAUAGACUAGAGAUAAACUUGCAAGAACAUGAUUACUAAUGAGAGACUCGUCACACAGUCACUUACUUAAGCAGGGGGUAAACCAUAAAGACAAUGAUAAUAAAGUAUAAGUUCAUGGGGUAA
rnacentral:lncRNA from 1 species